rnacentral:lncRNA from 1 species
CUGAUCUUACAUGUAGUUUUACACAUGAGGUAAUUUUUGGUCGUCCGACCCCUUUUGGUGGCCCCUCAAAUUAUUUUGUGUUCAAAGGGACCAUAGGUUAAAAAGUUAAAUGAGACCCUAUAUCUUGUUGCAUAUCACUCGAAAGCUCUUAAAAAGAGCUUUUCAAAAAUGUUAAAAUCAGUUUUCUGCUCAAAGUAGAAACAAAAUGGCGGCUGUUUUAAAGCUCGCCGGACUUGCUAAUUUGAGAGAUUAUCCACUGUUAGCACCAAAAUAGUUGCUUAAAAGUAAUUUUUCCAAAAGUUCAUUGAUUCUGUUAAUGGUGAAUGAUUUUAUUCCUAUGUAAGUUAUUCUCGAGUUGAACAUAGUGGUCAGGUGUUGUGAAUAACCUUCAAUUUCACUUAUUCAGUCGCCAUUUUGUUUUUGUUUAGACUAGGGCAGUAAUUUUUUUUUAGACGGCAUAAAUUUCAAAGACACUUUUUUAAUAUUCUCAGGAAUUUUAUCACCAAGCGAAUAUUUUUGUGCUAACAGUGGAUAAUCUCUCAAAUUAGCUUUAAAACAGCCGCCAUUUUGUUUCUCCUUUGAGCAGAAAACUGAAUGUAACUUUUUUAAACAGCUCUUUUUAAGAGCUUUCGAGUGAUAUGCAACAAGAUAUAGGGUCUCAUUUAACUUUUUAACCUAUGGCUCAUUUGAAAACAAAAUAAUUUGAGGGGCCAACAAAAGGGGUCGGACGACCAACAAUUACCUCAUGAGUAAAACUAAAUGUAAGAUAAGAUCAUUUUCAGCAGUUUUGAAGUAAAUUCAUCUUUUCUGAAGCAAUACUUUGCUUGAGAGGGGGCUGCCAACUCAGCCCCCAGAAAUGCUUUAAAU